AAAUAAGAAGCGAAUUAUUGCAAUCAGUUUCGACCUGGAACACUUGAUGUUAAAUCAUCCUUA
rnacentral:tRNA from 1 species